CCUGCUCAGUGCUGUGUCUGUUAAUAUGGUUCAAGCCAACGAAGCACCGUUAAAUAGCUGGGGUAACUAUGACUCUUAUCAAAGUAGCGAAAUACCUCGUCACUUAAUUAGUGACCUGCAUGAACGGAGCUAUGAGGUUCUCACUGUCCCAAACUGUCUCUCAGCGAACCAACUGUAGUGGGAACGGUCACUAGAUAUCCAGCGGGGAAAGAAGACCCUGUAGAGCUUCACUUUGGUCUAGUCUUGUAUAGUUCCUGCGGGGGUGUAGACUAGGUGGGAGAGCAAUCGAUUCUGAAAAACCACUACCCUGUUUGGAAUUAUGCUUACCUAUCACAAGGAAUAGGACUAGAUAGAAAGUUUGGCUGGGGCGGCACACCUUCGAAAGAGCAGCGAAGGUGUCCUAAGUUGAGCUCAGUGAGGACAGAAAUCUCACGUUGAGGAUAAGGCCAAAAGCUCAAUUUACUGUGCCUUUUUGUACUAGGAUCAGUUACGAAAGUAAGGCCUAACGAUCCCUAAAUAGCCUCAGGUGCGUGAGGAUUGGGGUGACAGACAAGUUACCUCCGGGACAACUGGCUUGUGGCUGCUAAGAGAUCAAAUCAACGCAGCUUUUUGAUUCUUCGAUGUCGGCUCUUCCUAUCCUAGUGAUGUACAAGUUGCUAAGGGUCGGAUUGUUCACCCGUAUUAGGGAUCGUGAGCUGGGUUUAGACCGUCGUGAGCCAGGUUUGUUUUAUCCUACUGGAUAUAGCAUCAUGAUAGUAGAUUGAUUUAGUACGAGAGGAACUGUUGAUUAUGGCCUCUGGUUAGCGAUUAUCGGAAACGGUAUGUCGCGCAGCUACGCCGUCUGGGAUAAUGGCUGAAAGCCUCUUAAGCCAGAAGCC
rnacentral:ncRNA from 1 species